rnacentral:lncRNA from 1 species
UCACUGACUUCAAGAAUGAAGCCGUGGACCCUCACGGUGAGUGUUACAGCCCUUAAAGGCAGUGUGGACCCAAAGAGUGAGCAGUAGCAAGAUUUAUUGCAAAGAGCGAAAGAACAAACCUUCCACAGACUGGAAAGGGACCCAAGCGGGUUGCCACUGCUAGCUCAGGCAGCCUGCUUUUAUUCUCUUAUCUGGCCCCACCCACAUCCUGCUGAUUGGUAGAGCCCAGUGGUCUGUUUCGACAGGGCGCUGAUUGGUGCGUUUACAAUCCCUGAGCUAGACAUAAAGGUUCUCCACAUCCCCACCAGACUCAGGAACCCAGCUGGCUUCACCCAGUGGAUCCAGCACCGGGGUUGCAGGUGGAGCUGCCUGCCAGUCCCGGUGCCGUGCGCCCCCCACUCCUCAGCCCUUGGGCGGUCGAUGGGACUGGGCACCUUGGAGCAGGGGGUGGCGCUCAUCGGGGAGGCUCGGGCCGCACAGGAGCCCAUGGAGGGAGUGGGAGGCUCAGGCAUGGCGGGCUGCAGGUCCCGAGCCCUGCCCCGCGGGAAGGCAGUUAAGGCCCGGUGAGAAAUCGAGCGCAGCGCCGGUGGGCUGGCACUGCUGGGGGACCCAGUACACCCUCCGCAGCCGCUGGCCCGGGUGCUAAGCCCCUCAUUGCCCGGGGCUGGCAGGGCCGGCCGGCUGCUCCGAGUGCGGGGCCGGCCAAGCCCACCCCCACCCGGAACUCCAGCUGGCCCGCAAGCGCCGCGCGCAGCCCGGGUUCCCGCUCGCGCCUCUCCCUCCACACCUCCUUGCAAGCUGAGGGAACCGGCUCUGGCCUUGGCCAGCCCAGAAAGGGGCUCCCACAGUGCAGCGGUGGGCUGAAGGGCUCCUCAAGUGCCGCCAAAGUGGGAGCCCAGGCAGAGGAGGCGCAGAGAGCGAGCGAGGGCUGUGAGGACUGCCAGCAUGCUGUUACCUCUCAAUAAGAUUAACUGACCUCUUCCAUGUUCAAACCAUAUGUAAUUGUAAUUGAAUGGAAGUUAAACAUCUGGAAACCGUUAGGAUUGAAUAGCAAUGAAAGGCAGGAAGCACAAGACUAUGGAAAGUGAUUUUGAACAACCAGGUGGUCCCAAAGAUAACCAAUUGUUUAGAGCCUAGAGGAAAGGGAAGAACCCACAUCUACCAUGAAUGAAUAAAUGGCGACCUGGAAGCAUACUUCUGGUAGCAAUGGGGACACGGGUCAAAGGGGACUUGAGGUUAUCAGCUUUCAGAAUGAAGACACAUAAUCCCUAUUAGAGUGGAAGACUUAAAAUCGAGUUUGAGACCCACCUUCUGAAACUGCAGGCUCUUGGGAGCCUGAUUUCCGGUGAAGAGUGUUGCUGCUUUGCAUUUUUCACACUUGAACACAGUGAAGAAGAUGAACAUUAAUUAGGAUUAUAGUGCCAUGGAGGCUUACUGUGCUGUGAGAACUCACAAGAAAUAAAAUGCCAUUUCUUUUU